UUUUUUUUUUUUAAGGGCUGCACCUGCAGCAUAUGGAGGUUUCCAGACUGGGGGUCAAACCAGAUCUGCAGCUGCUGGACUACACCAAAGCCAGAGCAAUGCAGGAUCCGAGCCGCAUCUGUAACCUAUACUGAAGCUCUUGGCAAUGCCAGAUCCUUAACUCAUUGAGAGAGGCCAUGGAUGGAACCUGUAUCCUCACGGAUACUAGUCGACUUCUUAACCCGCUGAGCCAAAAUGGGAACCCCAGGUCCUGGUCUUAAUUGCUUGCACACCUCCCACCAAAGCCCAAUAACACACAGUUGUAUCCUCUCUCGGGAGGAACCUGUUCCAGUCUGAAGGGAAACAGACUGGGUGUUGGGCCUGUGAAGUCCAAGGUCACUGCAGGCAGACACUGUUGAGCGCACCUGGACUCAACUCCAUCGGGCAGCUUGCUGGGAUAUCAGCAGGUGGGUGAUGCAUUGAGAGGGGACAUUUUAGUCCUGAACUCCAGCUGCCAGACAAAUCAGCCAGUCCUGGAACAGUCUACGGCCAAAUUCACAGCAGGUGCCUUCUGCAAAGCCCCAAAGGAGACACCCAUCCAACCUGAUCAGUUCUGCAAAGACUGAGCAUGGACGAGGGCAGGACAAACAGCACAUGGUGGUUUUGGGUCAGUGGUUUCCCGGCUGGCUGCACCUAAUAUCACCUAAGAAUUGGCCCCAUACACCUCCCUGUACGCAUUCACACACCCCUGACGGAUUCCUUUGCUCCACCGAGGGCAAGAUGCAUCAACUGGGAGGGGCUACCAUUCAUCCCACUUUAAAUCUGGUCAUGUUACAAGAACAUGAGUCUAAGAGAGAGAGAAAAAAAACAAAAACCAAAAAACAACAAAGAAAAAACACCCAUAGCCAAAGGAGAAGCAGGAAUAAAGAGGGGAAAGGAUGAGGCCAAAGAAAAAGGAAAUAAUAAAGACAGUAGAAAAAUGGAAAAUGAAGAGGGCUCCUUAGCUCACAUCCGCAUACCUUGAUUUAAAUAUAUUUUCUGGGGGGCAAAAUAUGAAUUGACGCUAAGGACAAAUUCGGAGAUUAUUCAUUUUACCAAAGAAUUUGACAUCAGAUUCCUUUAAAUAGCAAUCUCCUCUAGUACAUUUAAAAUAGGAUUCCUUUUACAGAAGUGUGAUUUAUACCAAACCACAUCUGUUACAUAAACCUCAGAAAAAGAGCUCUCCUCUCAUGUAGUCUAGCUAACUAUAGAACCGACCCAGGACAGAUCGCUAUCUAUUUUCUCCCAAAAGACACCCAGCCCUGCGCUCUGUCACCCACUUCUCUGUUUCACCUGAUUAUGGUUAAUUGAUUCCUAAAGUCCCCUAGAAUCUCUUCCGGUCUUCCCUAAACUCAGGGAACAACUGCCCUGCAUUCUUUUCAUAUUCCUUCAUUCAACACGUAUUCCUUUUUCGUUUUGUUUUUUCUUUUUAGGGCUGCACCCAUGGCAUAUGGAGGUUCCCACGCUAGGGGCUGAAUCAGAGCUAUAGCCACUGGCCUACACCACAGCCACAGCAACACAGGAUCCAAGCUGCGUCUGCAACCUACACCACAGCUCACGGCAAUGUCGGAUCCUUAACCCACUGAACAAGGCCAGGGAUCAAACCCGCGUCCUCAUGGAUGCUAGUCAGUUUGUUAACCACUGAGCCAUGAUGGGAACUCCAAACAACACAUAUUUCUUGAAGACCUAUCACAUGCUAGGCACUGAACAGUCAUGAACAAAAAAUGAUGUCUCUGGUCCUAUGGAUCUUGUCUUACAGUGGGAAUGAGAGUAAAUCAGUAAAAUGUGGUACGUGAGAUGGAGAUAUAUGGAAGAAAACAAGGAUGACAUCCUAGGCUCAGGUUAGAAGCUUACACAGGGUUAUCAGGGAAGGCUGUAUUAGCCGGGGACAAAGGGACACAUUUGAAAGUGAUGAGGAAGCAAGUCUGGCAGAGUUCCUGGCAGAGCCCACCUGGCAGGGACGAGAACAUCUAGAGGUCAAGUGUAGCUGGCACUGAGAGGUCAUCACGAGGGGCUUCUGUAAGGACCAGCCUUUGAUCUAAGCCAGACAGGAGCCACUGGGAGGUUUUAGGCAAAAGGGUGACAUGAUCUGACCCACUUUUUUAGAGGAUCCCUCUGGCUGUUGUGCCGAGAAGAGGCUGCAGAGACAAGUGUGGAAGCAGGGAGGAUGAUUAAGACGCUGCUGCGUUAGUUCCGGCUGGAGAUGAUGGUGGCUCAGACCCAGAAGGUGGCAGGGGAGGUGCUGACAUGUGGGGAUUUGGAUACAUUUUGAAGCUGGAGCUGACAGGAUUGUUGAUGUUUGGGUGUGGGAUGUGAGGAAGGAAGGAGUCAAGGAGGGCGUCAUGAUUAUUUUUAAGGAACAAGAGAGCCCGAGGUACCAUUAGCAAGAUGGAGAGAAUCAUGGGAGCACGGGUUGCGGGCGGGGCAGAUCAGAGCUUGUCUUUGGAUAUGUUUGAGAAGAGAUCCAGGCAGCGCUGUCAACGAGCUGGAGGAUGUGCAAGCCUGGAAUUCAGAAGAGGCUCGCACUAGAACGUAUCAGGUGAGUCCAGAUGAGAAGUCUGGGGACAGCCUGAGUACAUCCUACAUUCAAGAGGGACAUGAGAGACUGAGUAACGUUAAACAGAAAAGAAACAGGGAGUUCCCGUCGUGGCGCAGUGGUUAACGAAUCCUACUAGGAACCAUGAGGUUGCGGCCCUGCCCUUGCUCAGUGGGUUAACGAUCCGGUGUUGCCGUGAGCUUUGUGUGUUUUCAUCAAUGAAAUUGCCGCUCCCCAGACUCAAAAUGCAGCAUAAGCACCGGCUCUUCCAGGAAGCACCAAGGUGGAAAGAUUUGACCCCAUGUCCUAGGAAGUCUGCUAAGAAAGAGGUGCCACUUGAUCCCCUGGCAGAAGGCGCAGGUGGAUUCUGAAGCCAUCGGGUGGCCUUGAGACCCUGUGCUUUUGCAUGCAUGGCUUUCUCUGCCUGGAAUUCCUUUACUUUCCUAAUCUCCUGGGCAAAUUCCUUCCCCUUCUCCAGUUUUCUGAGUGAACCCCUUCCUCCAGUGCCAGGCAGUUAAUGCCGCCUCUUCCUCCUGGCACAUCCUCACAUGUCCUCUGAGCCUUGGGUCACUUGUACCGUAAUUAUUACGUCCGACUGCCCCACCGACUGACCUCACCCAGCAGAUGGGUCAUCCCAAAAGGACUGUUCUGCUCCACCUAAACUUUCCAAAUUCUAUUUGUUGCAUAAAACGAAUAAGCAAAAAUAUUAAUAACGACAGCCAUGGCUUACGAAGCCCCUCUCUUCUGCCAAGAACUGGAAACAGGCCACCGCAACACCUCACAAACCUGCAGGCACCAAUGGGUCUGGGAAAGUCGGUGGAUAUACAACGAGGUCAACAAACUUGGCCAUGGCCCUAGAGUGCCAAGUGGUGGCAUCAGGAUUUAGCCUGUGGCCUUGGUGACUCCAAAACCCCUGGUGAGUGUCAAGGGUCGACGGCAGCCUCAGGACACAGAAGUCACCUCCUGAUCCUCUGCGUGCAAGGGUGAUGCUGUGAACACCAGUUGGCUCCCGUUGGCAGCUACAAAGACGCCUCCCACCCUUUAACCCCGUCCUACAAGCCCCACAGCCAUCACCUCCAGACCAAAGACUCAUGAGGA
rnacentral:lncRNA from 9 species